rnacentral:lncRNA from 1 species
GAGCUUUUGCCUUGUCUGGCUGACGGCUUGGCAAUCCCAAGUGACAGUGACGGAGAGCCACCUCCUCUGGAAUGCAUCAUGGAACAGAAGGGAAAAGCCAGGCAUUUGUAGUCCUCCUGCCACAGAUGACCAGAAUGACCUCACCCAGGACAAACGGCGACAGAUUUAGGAAUUCAAGCCAGCUUUUCUGACUCCCAGGCACCUGCUCUCUCCUUUGGAGUGUUCGACUCCACUCUCGGUCACUUGUCA